GGUUUUGUAAUCUGAAGAUCUCUCUCUUCAGUUUUGAUUGUGAAAUCAAUUUUGAAAAAAUUGAGUUUUAUAGUCUGAUAGAUCUGAUCCUUUUGUACUUUUGGAAUUUUCCCAAAUGUCUAUAAAUUUUUUAAAAUUUUCGAUUAUUAUUUCUUCACUAUUAACUAUCUUUCUCGACUUAGAGGAUGAGGUAGAAGAAUUUGAAGAAUAAACAGUCCUACAGAAAAUAAGAUUCAUACUUAAAGAAUUUUUCUAGGUUGAUCUUUUGAGUUAAGUGAGGUAAUCGCACCAGGAAUCACUGCCCUAAAACGCCCUCUCGGCUAAACGCGGGACUUACAACCCAGGCCUGUUUACACCUCUAAAGAAGCUGUCUUAUCACCUUAAGAUCAUCUUACCAACCCCAAAAAUGUUUAAAUGUGAAUCCGAACCUUAAAUAGAACGUUUUCCCCCCAGGCUCUGAUACCAAGGAGACCCUCUAUUAAAACAUUAAUCUCAUUAUUAUAAAUGGAAU
rnacentral:misc_RNA from 1 species